rnacentral:rRNA from 1 species
GACGAACGCUGGCGGCGUGCCUAACACAUGCAAGUCGAGCGGAGUUACCUUUAGCACUGAGUAUUCUUAAUGAAACUAUUAAAUGGCGACAGCGUCAUGCUGAAACGACAUUAAUGGCUCUUGAAAUCAAGUUUCAGCAUCACGCGUUUUAUCAAAGUGACAACACAUGAUACAUCGAGUGGAAAGAAUACUGAGUGCUAAAGGUAGCUUAGCGGCGGACGGGUGAGUAACGCGUGGGCAACCUACCUAUAACUGGGGGAUAACACAGGGAAACUUGUGCUAAUACCGCAUAACACAGCGAAGAAGCAUUUCUUUGUUGUCAAAGGAGCAAUCCGGUGAUAGAUGGGCCCGCGUCCAAUUAGCUAGUUGGUGAUGUAACGGACCACCAAGGCGACGAUUGGUAGCCGAACUGAGAGGUUGAUCGGCCACAUUGGGACUGAGACACGGCCCAGACUCCUACGGGAGGCAGCAGUGGGGAAUAUUG